GUGGGGAAUCUUCCGCAAUGGACGAAAGUCUGACGGAGCAACGCCGCGUGAGUGAUGAAGGUCUUCGGAUUGUAAAGCUCUGUUAAUCGGGACGAAAGAGCCUAGUGUGAAUAAUGCUAGGAAGUGACGGUACCGGAAUAGAAAGCCACGGCUAACUACGUGCCAGCAGCCGCGGUAAUACGUAGGUGGCAAGCGUUGUCCGGAAUUAUUGGGCGUAAAGCGCGCGCAGGCGGAUCUGCCAGUCUGUCUUAAAAGUUUGGGGCUUAACCCCGUGAUGGGAUGGAAACUACAGAUCUAGAGUAUCGGAGAGGAAAGUGGAAUUCCUAGUGUAGCGGUGAAAUGCGUAGAUAUUAGGAAGAACACCAGUGGCGAAGGCGACUUUCUGGACGAAAACUGACGCUGAGGCGCGAAAGCCAGGGGAGCGAACGGGAUUAGAAACCCUUGUAGUCC
rnacentral:rRNA from 1 species